GACGAACGCUGGCGGCGUGCCUAAUACAUGCAAGUCGAACGCUUUUUCUUUCACCGGAGCUUGCUCCACCGAAAGAAAAAGAGUGGCGAACGGGUGAGUAACACGUGGGUAACCUGCCCAUCAGAAGGGGAUAACACUUGGAAACAGGUGCUAAUACCGUAUAACACUAUUUUCCGCAUGGAAGAAAGUUGAAAGGCGCUUUUGCGUCACUGAUGGAUGGACCCGCGGUGCUUUAGCUAGUUGGUGAGGUAACGGCUCACCAAGGCAACGAUGCAUAGCCGACCUGAGAGGGUGAUCGGCCACACUGGGACUGAGACACGGCCCAGACUCCUACGGGAGGCAGCAGUAGGGAAUCUUCGGCAAUGGACGAAAGUCUGACCGAGCAACGCCGCGUGAGUGAAGAAGGUUUUCGGAUCGUAAAACUCUGUUGUUAGAGAAGAACAAGGAUGAGAGUAAAAUGUUCAUCCCUUGACGGUAUCUAACCAGAAAGCCACGGCUAACUACGUGCCAGCAGCCGCCGUAA
rnacentral:rRNA from 1 species